rnacentral:rRNA from 1 species
UACGUAGGGGGCGAGCGUUGUCCGGAAUCAUUGGGCGUAAAGCGCGUGUAGGCGGCCCGGUAAGUCCGCUGUGAAAGUCCAGGGCUCAACCCUGGGAUGCCGGUGGAUACUGUCGGGCUCGAGUCCGGAAGAGGCGAGUGGAAUUCCUGGUGUAGCGGUGAAAUGCGCAGAUAUCAGGAGGAACACCAAUGGCGAAGGCAGCUCGCUGGGACGUGACUGACGCUGAGACGCGAAAGCGUGGGGAGCAAACAGGAUUGAGAA